rnacentral:rRNA from 1 species
CAGCAGCCGCGGUAAUACGAAGGGGGCUAGCGUUGUUCGGAAUUACUGGGCGUAAAGCGCACGUAGGCGGAUAUUUAAGUCAGGGGUGAAAUCCCGCAGUUCAACUGCGGAACUGCCUUUGAUACUGGGUAUCUUGAGUAUGGAAGAGGUUAGUGGAAUUGCGAGUGUAGAGGUGAAAUUCGUAGAUAUUCGCAGGAACACCAGUGGCGAAGGCGGCUAACUGGUCCAUAACUGACGCUGAGGUGCGAAAGCGUGGGGAGCAAACAGGAUUAGAUACCCCUGUAGUCCCUGUCUCUUAUAC